AGAGUUUGAUCAUGGCUCAGAACGAACGCUGGCGGCAGGCUUAACACAUGCAAGUCGAGCGCCUCGCAAGAGGAGCGGCAGACGGGUGAGUAACACGUGGGAACGUGCCCAAAGGUACGGAACAACUCCGGGAAACUGGAGCUAAUACCGUAUGUGCCCGAGAGGGGAAAGAUUUAUCGCCUUUGGAUCGGCCCGCGUCUGAUUAGCUAGUUGGUAGGGUAAUGGCCUACCAAGGCGACGAUCAGUAGCUGGUCUGAGAGGAUGACCAGCCACACUGGGACUGAGACACGGCCCAGACUCCUACGGGAGGCAGCAGUGGGGAAUAUUGGACAAUGGGCGCAAGCCUGAUCCAGCCAUGCCGCGUGAGUGAUGAAGGCCUUAGGGUUGUAAAGCUCUUUCGCCAGGGACGAUAAUGACGGUACCUGGAUAAGAAGCCCCGGCUAACUUCGUGCCAGCAGCCGCGGUAAUACGAAGGGGGCUAGCGUUGUUCGGAAUUACUGGGCGUAAAGCGUAUGUAGGCGGAUCUUUAAGUCAGGGGUGAAAUCCCGAGGCUCAACCUCGGAACUGCCUUUGAUACUGGGGAUCUUGAGUCCGGGAGAGGUGAGUGGAACUGCGAGUGUAGAGGUGAAAUUCGUAGAUAUUCGCAAGAACACCAGUGGCGAAGGCGGCUCACUGGCCCGGUACUGACGCUGAAAUACGAAAGCGUGGGGAGCAAACAGGAUUAGAUACCCCCGUAGUCC
rnacentral:rRNA from 1 species